CUCCAUUCCUCUCUGUUCUUUCUUGGCUGUGCUGCAGAGCAGAUGUGCAGGCGCCAUGUGCUAGCAUGGUGAACCAUGUUACUCUCUGUUGCUUCCUUUUCUUCCUUGGUGGAUGUGAUGUUGAACUUGCAGCAGUGAGCCAUUACUAGAUGUGAAGGCCUAACCGUGGGUGAGAUCAAACAUGUGGGGAAGGGGUUACUAUAUAGAUGGAUAGAUUUAAAAAGGGUUGUUGCUCCG